rnacentral:piRNA from 1 species
UAUGCCAUCUCUGUAUUUGCUCCCGUG